GCUGAAGCGAAGUUCCCAGCUCUGGUUUCUAUUUUCUAUAUAAUAGAGUAUACGCUGCUGUUUCGUUCCUUACCCGAUCGAGCAUCGACGACACUUCUCAAUUCCUCUCGCCGUUCAUUUUCAAUGCCCUAAGUACCGAAUAUGUGUUAAAUAUCCUUUCUUCCAUAGGCAAUGAGCUACCUGUGGCUCAAUUCAACGUAACGCCCUUGUGUUCUUCUCGUCGAGUUCAUCCAUGUUAGAGUUGACCGUAAACUAAGGGCUUUUUCUACCGCCGAUCCGUCAACUUCUCUCAGCAUCUUUCUUCCUUAACCAGCUUGUACAGACUUCUCCAGCUUCAAGUACCACUUAUGUAAAGCUUUAAGCUUCAAGAAGGGCAGCUGUUCCUAAAGAACACAAUGCUACAGCAAGAGUAACAGAUGGAGCAAGUCUAGGCAUGAGUAAGAAGCACAGAGGAAUGUGGAAGAUCCAACCUUUCUAAAUCUGGUUUGU